GGGGUGCUGCCGGGGGUCAGCCGGGCACCGUCGACCGCGGUGGCGGUCACCGGCGCGGCGUAGGUCGAGGGUGCGUCCUCCGCGCCCCA
rnacentral:tRNA from 1 species